rnacentral:rRNA from 1 species
GAUGAACGCUGGCGGCGUGCCUAAUACAUGCAAGUCGAGCGAACAGACGAGGAGCUUGCUCCUCGGACGUUAGCGGCGGACGGGUGAGUAACACGUGUAUAACCUACCUAUAAGACUGGUAUAACUUCGGGAAACCGGAGCUAAUACCGGAGAAUAUAUUGAACCGCGUGGUUCAAUAGUGAGAGACGGUUUUGCUGGCACGUAUAGAUGGAUCUGCGCCGCAUUAGCGAGUUGGUAAGGUCACGGCUUACCAAGGCAACGAUGCGUUUACGAACUGACAGGGUGAUAGGCCACCAUGGAACUGGAACACGGACAAGACGCCUACGGGAGGCAGCAGUAGGCAAACUUCGGCAAUGGGGGAAAGCCUGACGGAGUAACGCGGAGUGAGUGAUGACGGUCUUCGGAUCGUAAAACUCUGUUAUUAGGGAAGAACAAAUGUGUAAGUAACUAUGCACGUAGUGACGGUACCUAAUCAGAAAGCAACGGCUAACUACGUG